AAUAGAUACCCGGGUAGUCCACGCCGUAAACGGUGGGUACUAGGUGUGGGUUUCCUUCCUUGGGAUCCGUGCCGUAGCUAACGCAUUAAGUACCCCGCCUGGGGAGUACGGCCGCAAGGCUAAAACUCAAAGGAGUUGACGGGGGCCCGCACAAGCGGCGGAGCAUGUGGAUUAAUUCGAUGCAACGCGAAGAACCUUACCUGGGUUUGACAUGCACAGGACGCCGGCAGAGAUGUCGGUUCCCUUGUGGCCUGUGUGCAGGUGGUGCAUGGCUGUCGUCAGCUCGUGUCGUGAGAUGUUGAGUUAAGUCCCGCAACGAGCGCAACCCUUGUCCUAUGUUGCCAGCGGGUUAUGCCGGGGACUCGUAGGAGACUGCCGGGGUCAACUCGGAGGAAGGUGGGGAUGACGUCAAGUCAUCAUGCCCCUUAUGUCCAGGGCUUCACACAUGCUACAAUGGCCGGUACAAAGGGCUGCGAUGCCGUGAGGUGGAGCGAAUCCUUGGUAAAGCCGGUCUCAGUUCGGAUCGGGGUCUGCAACUCGACCCCG
rnacentral:rRNA from 1 species